UACGUAAGUGGCGAGCGUUAUCCGGAAUUACUGGGCGUAAAGCGUGCGUAGGCGGUUUAGUGUGUGGGAAUUGAAAGCCCGGGGCUCAACUCCGGAUCCGGUUCCCAAACUGCUAGACUCGAGCAUAUCAGAGGACAGUGGAAUUCCCGGUGUAGCGGUAAUAUGCGUAGAUAUCGGGAGGAACACCAGUGGCGAAGGCGACUGUCUGGGGUAUUGCUGACGCUGAGGCACGAAAGCCAGGGGAGCGAACAGG
rnacentral:rRNA from 1 species